rnacentral:rRNA from 1 species
ACUCCUACGGGAGGCAGCAGUGGGGAAUAUUGCACAAUGGGCGCAAGCCUGAUGCAGCCAUGCCGCGUGUGUGAAGAAGGCCUUCGGGUUGUAAGCACUUUCAGUUGUGAGGAAGGUGGUGUCGUUAAUAGCGGCAUCAUUUUGACGUUUAGCAACAGAAGAAGCACCGGCUAACUCCGUGCCAGCAGCCGCGGUAAUACGGAGGGUGCGAGCGUUAAUCGGAAUUACUGGGCGUAAAGCGCAUGCAGGUGGUUGUUAAGUCAGAUGUGAAAGCCGGGGCGUCAACCUCGGAACUGCAUUUGAAACUGGCAGACUAGAGUACUGUAGAGGGGGUAGAAUUUCAGGUGUAGCGGUGAAAUGCGUAGAGAUCUGAA